rnacentral:rRNA from 1 species
GAUGAACGCUGGCGGCGUGCUUAACACAUGCAAGUCGAACGAGAAUCUGUGGAAAGAGGAUUCGUCCAAUUGAAACAGAGGACAGUGGCGGACGGGUGGGUAACGCGUGAGGAACCUGCCUUUCAGAGGGGGACAACAGUUGGAAACGACUGCUAAUACCGCAUGACACAUUGAGGUCGCAUGGCCUUAAUGUCAAAGAUUUAUCGCUGAAAGAUGGCCUCGCGUCUGAUUAGCUAGUUGGUGAGGUAACGGCCCACCAAGGCGACGAUCAGUAGCCGGACUGAGAGGUUGAACGGCCACAUUGGGACUGAGAUACGGCCCAGACUCCUACGGGAGGCAGCAGUGGGGAAUAUUGGGCAAUGGGCGCAAGCCUGACCCAGCAACGCCGCGUGAAGGAAG